GUGGGGAAUAUUGGUCAAUGGACGAGAGUCUGAACCAGCCAAGUAGCGUGCAGGAUGACGGCCCUAUGGGUUGUAAACUGCUUUUAUACAGGGAUAAAGUGCACUACGUGUAGUGUUUUGUAGGUACUGUAUGAAUAAGGACCGGCUAAUUCCGUGCCAGCAGCCGCGGUAAUACGGAAGGUCCGGGCGUUAUCCGGAUUUAUUGGGUUUAAAGGGAGCGCAGGCUGAUGAUUAAGCGUGACGUGAAAUGUAGCCGCUCAACGGCUGAACUGCGUCGCGAACUGGUUAUCUUGAGUGAGUUCGAUGUUGGCGGAAUUCGUGGUGUAGCGGUGAAAUGCUUAGAUAUCACGAAGAACUCCGAUUGCGAAGGCAGCCAACAAGGCCUUUACUGACGCUAAAGCUCGAAGGUGCGGGUAUCGAACAGG
rnacentral:rRNA from 1 species